CACAAGCGGUGGAGCAUGUGGUUUAAUUCGAUGAUACGCGAGGAACCUUACCUGGGCUCAAAUGUAUGUUGACGUAUCUGAAAGGGAUACUUCUUCGGACAAUAUACAAGGUGCUGCAUGGUUGUCGUCAGCUCGUGCCGUGAGGUGUCGGGUUAAGUCCCAUAACGAGCGCAACCCCUAUUUGCCAGUUGCUACCAGGUAAUGCUGGGCACUCUGGUGAGACUGCCCCGGUUAACGGGGAGGAAGGUGGGGACGACGUCAAGUCAUCAUGGCCCUUACGCCUAGGGCUACACACGUACUACAAUGGCGCAUACAAAGGGCAGCGAUACCGCGAGGUGGAGCCAAUCCCAAAAAGUGCGUCCCAGUCCGGAUUGCAGUCUGCAACUCGACUGCAUGAAGUUGGAAUCGCUAAUAAUUCGAGAUCAGCAUGCUCGGGUGAAUGCGUUCCCGGGCCUU
rnacentral:rRNA from 1 species